GAUGAACGCUGGCGGCGUGCCUAACACAUGCAAGUCGAACGGAUGCCUUCGGGCAUUAGUGGCGCACGGGUGAGUAACACGUGGUUGAUCUACCCUCAAGUAGGGGAUAACGUUCCGAAAGGAAUGCUAAUACCCUAUAAGCUCCCGGUGUUUAGAAGACUGGGAGAAAGUUCCGGCGCUUGAGGAGGAGACUGCGAACCAUCAGCUAGUUGGUGAGGUAAAGGCUUACCAAGGCGACGACGGUUAGGGGACCUGAGAGGGUGGCCCCC
rnacentral:rRNA from 1 species